CCUACGGGUGGCUGCAGUGAGGAAUAUUGGUCAAUGGCCGGAAGGCUGAACCAGCCAAGCCGCGUGAAGGACGAAGGUGCCACGCAUUGUAAACUUCUUUUGUCAAGGGACAAAAUCAGGCUCGCGAGCCUGACCGAGUGUACUUGAAGAAAAAGCAUCGGCUAACUCCGUGCCAGCAGCCGCGGUAAUACGGAGGAUGCGAGCGUUAUCCGGAUUUAUUGGGUUUAAAGGGUGCGUAGGCGGGCUGUUAAGUCAGCGGUAAAAGCCCGGGGCUCAACCCCGGCGAGCCGUUGAAACUGGCAGUCUUGAGAUGGCGAGAGGUAGGCGGAAUGCGCGGUGUAGCGGUGAAAUGCUUAGAUAUCAGGAGGAACACCGGCGGCGAAGGCAGCUUGCUGGACUGUAACUGACGUUGAGGCUCGAAGGCGUGGGGAGCGAACAGGAUUAGAUACCCCUGUAGUC
rnacentral:rRNA from 1 species